rnacentral:lncRNA from 1 species
UCAUGAAAUAUUUAUCAAAAAUUUUAAAAUGUUUCCAUUUUAUUAUUCAGACAUGUAUAUAUGUGUAUAUUUCUGUUUCAGAAAGAUUUAGUGACAAUAGAUUUUUUGAGAAUGGGAGCCAAUUUGAUGUUAAAUAAAAAAAUAAGAUCUACCUCAUGUUUAAAGCACUCUGCAAAUGUUACAGAAUAUUUUAAGAUCUUAUCUGAAUUAUUUCUGUCAGUAAAUGAAGGAAGAAGCUACUUCAAAUUCCCCCAGACAUUUCAUUUCUUUCAUCAAACAUAUCUUCAUACAUGUGCCCUAAUGUAUAUUAAAAAUUGCCAAGUAGAAAAUUGCAGUCACAAACUCAUUUUGAUUUUUUAUAGUUAUCUUUUCCAAAUGUUUGUAUACAAGACAUCACUAUACACUGCUGAGAUAAAUGCAUACAAGAAAAAAUGCAUAAAAAAUAAAUAAAAGCUUAACAUAAACUGGAAGAAGUUGGAUUCAUAUAGAUAAGGAGGUCACUAUUAGAUAAUACUCUAUGAGUAUCUGAGACUUUAACACUGCAUUAUUGAAUAGUUAAAACUGAUGGUUUUAUCUUUAUUCUACAUGUAUGAGAUGUAAACUGUGAAUGUCACUGAUGUUUAUGCUAUCUAAGGAGCUGCUGUCUUAUCUUUUGUUGGUUCUUAGCUCUAUAUUUUGAGAGGUCUCAUAGAAUUGGAGCAAUUCUCUAAACCUGCUUUCCAUGGGGUUCUGCUUCACUGAGAAGGUUUGGUGUUUUAAAUUAUAUGGAAGUUUUUCUAGGAGCUUUAUAUGCUUGAUGGCAGAAAGCUGAAGAGUCUUUGGAUGUGAUCUGGACAAUCUUGCCACCAACAUUGGGCUGAAUAGUUGAUGUGAGGUCAGUUUUCCUGCAGUAUGACUGAGGGUUCAUGCCAUUUUGGUGAAUCCAGACCAUGUAUUUUAGAGUAAAGACCUAAGGUGUGGUUCUAAGUGCUCUCACCUAGCAUGCAAUUUACACAUCCAAGGAGGGUGAAGCUUUAUUUUGUAAUACUGCACCACGAGGAAUGCCUUGAUUUGGCAAGCCAUUGUUUAUGGUCACUCCUUAUACUAAGAAGAAAAAGUUUAGCCUUCUUUCUGAUAGAAGCCAGAAUGUCCUACAGACAUUCAAGAUCUGAAUAGCUGAAGAAGACAAGGCCAGAAAGUAACACAAUAUUAAGAUGGUGAUGGUACUCUGUUGUGUUUUACUUUUCAAAAUAUGGUAGGACCUUAUGUGACUGAAGCUAUCUCCCUUGAUGAAACUAACAUGCAAAAGACAUUGGGUACAUUUUUCAUUAUACCUUGCCAAUCAAAUUUCCCAUCCUGAUUUUUUUUGGUUAAAAAUUAAUUAAUCAAAGUGUGUCAUAUUUCUCAGAAGGUGAAUUUUUUACAUUUCUGAGCUUAAAGCCAAUAGAAAGCUGGCACUAAUAACUUAAAAGUAAGUCAACCCUUUAUGUCAGUGACUAUUCAGAUAUUAAAGUCACAUAAUAUGUAGAGGACUUUGAAGAAUUCAUUUUCUUCAGCAGGAAUAGUGGUCCCACAGAGAAUCCUCAUUUAUAACUAGUAUCUCAAAUCUUGUGGUUGUAAAAAUGUUACCUGUCGAAUUUUAAAAUCAGGCCAGAUUUAUAGUUGCUGCAGCAGCAAGGCUGGAUUUUUCUGGCAUAAUAAAUUUUAUCAAAUAAUUGUUCCAUAUCUUUUACAAAAAUUAUUACACUAGUUAAGUUUAGAAUUUCUUUAGGCAUGCUUGAGGUUAUGUUUAAUCACAUUUAACCUAAUUUGGGAAGGCAGUUCUACAUUUAAAUACAUUUUAUACAACAUACAAAUUCCCACAUUAGAUUAUAUAAGAUUUGAGACAUCUAUAACCCAAUACUGAUCUAAAUUCCCAAGCAAGAAUAUACUAAAUAUACACUUAAUUGCUUGUAAUUAUUUAAGCAUAUUGAAAACAUUAAAAAAUUGUGAAUAUCCUUGAACACUUGGAAAAAAUUUUGUAUACAUGUAUAUAUGAAAAUACAUAUAUUUUCACAUUUAAAUGGGCCUACAUGUCUAGAAAAUCUUUAUAAAAAAGGAGGACAUAUACAUUGGUUACAUAGAAAAUAGGUGCGUACUAGCUAAAUAUGUCAGUUAGUCCCCUGUGAAUUCUGCAUAAGCUGAAGAAACCACAGAGCGCAUUACAUGUAUCAUGUACUUAAGCAUUAUUAAUUUUUAAAACUUUCUUGGAAAACGUUUGGGCAAUAAAACUAAAAAUUAAUAACUUCUAAAACCAUAAAUUAUUAAGACGUCCAUUUCUUGCUACAUCAUAGUAGCUUUUAUCAAAUCAACUAUCACACUGAGACAACAAGAAAGCCUAGAUUGAAGAACAAAGAAAGAAAACCAGGACCUGAAAAGUCAAGGCUACAGAGAGAGCAUAGGCUGACCUUGUCUACUGUGCUUUCCCCUCUGUGUGUUUCCUGAGUGUGUCAGAGAAGCCAAGCAGAAAGUAGAGACUGAACAGUUUUAAAAGUCUCCUGGGAAAAAUUAUAAUCAAGGAAUAAAAAAGUCAGCUAGGCCAAGGCCCUGGAAAAAGGGUACCACAGAGAAGUGAAACCAACAUUGUAUAGACAUUUGGUGCUGCAGGUCAGUUGUCUGGGUGGCCUUGGAGUGACCUAGUUCUCUCCCUUUUCUUGCUUGGAGUUCUCAGGAACAGCUGUAGAUUGUGAUGGGAAUGCAACGUCUUGAGUUAGGGAGGAACUACUCUGGUACAGCCUUGGCUUUACUCCACUUUUCCCUGGAAGCCAGAUGUCUUUCAAAGAUUUGCCUGAUGAGUUACGUGCCUCUGAUGUAUAUAAUCCAGGGUGGGCUUCCUGUUGGGGUUCCUCAGCUGUAAUGCAAGUGGGACAUGCUCAGUUGAGACUUCACUUGCCCUGUGCAGCUUUGUUGAGGCAUGGAGGGAUUGGCUCACAACAGAUCCUAAGCUUCUUUUGUCUCUUGCUGCCUAUCUGUGAGUAAUAAAUCUGUUGCACAUAACUUGUUGUGUGUAUGUUUUGUCUCACCAGACUCAGACAAAUGGUAAUUAGUAAACCUGCUUUACAAAAUUGACAUAGUGAGUAGAGGCUGGUCUGAAAGAACCAUGGCUUAUGGGCAAAGUAGGGGCAGCAAAUAACCCCCAGGCUGGCACUGGGGGUUACUGCUCUACCCACUUUGCCAAUAAGCAUCAGCCUGGGCAAACAGGGGCUGGAUGUGCAGCUGGAUGUUUGAUCAGGAAAGAAGGGUGAUAAGGUAGGCAUAGGUCACCUCCCCCACCCAGAUGUGUGAGCUGGUUGCUGAUUGAGGCAGAGAGAGAGGAAUGCAGAAACAGGGGAGCACGGCACAGGAUCCCCUGGCUUUGGACACUUAUGUGACUGUUCAUUCCUGGCUAGAGAACUGGGAAAGUGAGUACUCAGAAGAACCCUGAAAGGGAACUAACACGUGUGCUAUGUGGGCCUUCACAGAAAGAGAGACUCAUUAUCUAAAGCAUAAAUAUAGAGAAAGGCCAGAGGAAUCUCAUGCAGCCUGGUUGAUUUUUUUUUUUUUUAAAUCAAGGGACAUUGCAAAUCCAAAUGUCUCAGGCAGAAUGGUACAGUUAGAAAUGGGGCCAGUCAGCCUGAGAAAUUAGGUUCUCAACUGGAGGUCAAUGCCAAUGUCCCUAUAAUCCUGUUAAAACAAGAGGAGAAAAGAAAGGAACUCGGACUUUUCUGGGGGCUCUUGGAUAUUAGAGCCCACAUAACAAUACUUCCAGGUCCCCUUAGGGGAAAAAUUAAACUGAUGACCUCAGGAGAAUUGGGGACAAAUAUGUGACUCGCAGUACUUAUUUGCUUAUGCUUGGGGUCCUUUGAGCCAUUUCAGGUGCCAGAGACUGUGGUUCCCAUAGCUGAGUACAUGAGAGUUGUGAGACAAAGUAGCAAGCAUCAUGCAUCCCUUAAAUAUAUACACCUACUAUGUGCCCACAAACAUAAAAAAUAAAAAGAAGCCAUGUGUAUAAGUCAGGGUUCUGUAGAGGGACAGAACUAAUAGGCGAUAUGUAUAUAUAGCCUAUUUUGUAUAUAUAUAUAUCACCUAUUAUAUAUAUAGGAGUUUAUUAAAGAGUAUUAAACUAAUACGAUCACAAGGUCCCACAAUAGGCCGUCUGCAAACUGAGGAGCAAGGAAGCCAGCCCGAGUCCCAGAGCUGAAGAACUUUAAGUCCUAUGUUUAAGGGCAGGAAGCAUUCAGCACAGGAGAAACAUGUAGGCUGGGAGGCUAAGACAGUCUAGUCUUUUCACAUUCUUCUGCUUGCAAUUUAUCCUAGUCAUGCUGGCAGCUGAUUAGAUUGUGUCCACCCAGAUUAAGGCUGAGUCUGUCUUUUCCAGUUCACUGACUCAAAUGUUAGUCUCCCUUGGCAACACCCUCACAGAUACACCCAGAAUCAAUACUUUGCAUCCUUCAAUCCAAUCGAGUUGACACUCAGUAGUAACCAUCACACUAUGCUCAUUUCUGCUUUCCAGCAUGAUUUCACAAAGCCCCUGACUCUGUGAUGAUGUGCAGCUCUCAGAAAGACGCUUUAAAGACAAAACAGGAUAGACCACUCCCACCCCCAUGCCUCUUGCCCUAGUCACUGUAUUCCUUAGAAGAUAAAUAAUCCUAGUCCUUUCCUCUUCUACAGAUAAGAUAAUGUCUGACAGGGUUAGUGAUUAUGCCUCUGUAAUCUAUAGCCAGAUGUACUCUUACACCCAAACCUUGAUCUGAUUCUGCUCUAAUAUAACUUCUGAACAAGUUUAAUACAAUUUUACAUGUACUAAACACUUACCAUCUCUAUAUAAGCAUUGGGCUAAAAUACUGUGCCAAACAGUCUAAUAAAAACCCUCCACAGGGCUGCCACCAGGCUAUAGGCCUUGGUCUAUAGUCCUCAAUAAAACUUAUAAAUAAAACCCACCGUAACUCUUUAAAAGCUUUUUUUUUCUUUAGUUGACAUACGCAUUGACACUCUGGCUGCUUGUGGAACAGAAUAUCACCACAUCAUAGCCAAGAAUUCGAGCCUAACAGUGGAACAUAUCCACUUCAGCCUGCCACCUAAGCUACCCAAGUCCCAAGUUUCUUCCGCAAAAGCAGUACUGCAAGCUAAGUGGAAAAUAGGGUAUUAUUUUGCUAAUUCAGGCCUUGCUACACACUACACUAUCACAAUGUAACAGCCUCUUCUGGCUGGUCAAAAAGGCCUUUGGGGCACAGAGACUAACAAUGGACUGUCCAGGCUGAAUGCCAGAGUCACUUGGGCAGGAUGCCAAAAAGGUAUUCCAGAGACAGUGAAAUAAAUAUUUUUAACCCUGGAGGUACUCACUAAUAAAAAGGAGGCCUAAUAGCUGGCAGGCAUCUUUGGGUACUAGAGACAGUAUGUACCCCACCUGGGUGUUCUGUUGGUCCCCUUAGUCAGGUGACCAGCAAAGCUACUAACUUUAAGUGGAACCCUUUGCAGCAGCAGGCUUUGGAAGCCAUUCAAUGAGCUGUGGCCCAGGCACUGACUUUAAAAGCUUUAAAGCCUGCUACCCUGAUGAAAUGACAUGUGUGCAUAACCACUCUGCAUGUGGAUUGGAGUCUGUGGCAACAGAAAAUUGCCAAUGGGGUGUGCAAGCCUCUUGGAGUUUGGACAUGUAAGUUGCCUGAGGCCGCCUGCAGAUACACCUCUUUUGAAUGACAACUCCUUGCUUGCCAUUGGACACUAAAGGAGACUGAGCAUCUUGUGACUGAACUGCCACAAAAGACACUGCAACUUGAACUGUCCAUUCUCACCUGGGCACUCACAAACCUUGCCAAUGAAAUUGGACAGGCUCAAUACAGCUCAAUGAUCAAAUGGAUAGGAUACAUUCAAAAGAUUGGGCUUAGCAGCCAAGAGACCAGUAGGCUCCAUGAGCAAGUGGCUAACUUGCCAGAAGGGACUAAACAACAUGUAGGGGAUGUUUUGGAUCCUCCUAUGGAUACCUGGGGCCCAAGACUGAGACGUGCCUACUGACAGUAUGACAUGGCUUGUUUACUGAUGGCUCUUCCAAAUGGCAAGCAGGCAGGGUUCCCUGGGCUGUGGUAGCCAUCUAGCCAGUGGAUAGGUAUCUCAUGGCUGAGACUGGACAUGGGCAUUUUGAACAAUGGGCCAAACUACAUGCAGUGGUGAUAGCCACAUAGACUUCCUCUACCACCCUAUCUUGCUACAUUUUCACUGACUCAUCAGCUGUUGCCAACAACCUAGACAUCUCGUCAGAAGAAAGGCAACUAAGUGGAUGGAUUAUUAAAGGACAAGUACUAUUACAAUAACUUGCUGUCUGGAAUGGGAAAGUAUAUAUGUCACUCAUGUGGAGGAUGGGACUAACAUAGCUUCUCUUAAAAGGAACACAUGUCAUGUUUUUGAUUACCCCACGGAACUUCACUCUGACCAAGGAAUGGUUACUACCCAAAUAACACAACAAUGUGUGCAUUCUCCUAAAAUACAAUGGACUUUCCAUACACUUUGUCAUCCUCAGGCCAAUGGAGCUGUUGAAUGGUGGUGGAGCCAACUCACAAAACAACUGAAGAAAUGACAUCAAGAUGGCCUGCUAAUGGAGUGACAACCCCUUCUGACUAGAGCAAUGUGGUCACUAAACACUGCACUCUAAUCCAAGGGAAACAUGGUACUGCAGCUCAAGUUGACAGAGCUUGGUGGAGGUGGAGGUGGACUAAGUAGCUGCCUGGAGGUUGACAGAGAUGCAGAGCUUGGUGGAGGUGGAGGUGGACUAAGUAGCUGCCUGAUUAGGCUGUGCCUGCAAAAUCCCAAUUCCAGUGUUCCAAACUAUGAUUUUUGUUCUUCCCCUUUACAGUGCAUGUCCUGGAGGGUGGUUUGCAGUUUAGGCCACCCUAGUACCCCAGACAAGGCUCCCUAACUUCAAGGUGAUACUUCUCCUGGGUUCUUCUCCUCUAUGGGAUUCCACAGAGGUGGAGAACAAGACCAAGGAAUACCAGGAUGCUAGGGUUCCCCUGGAGGCAGGGAGCGUUUAAUCCUUCCAGUAUAGUGGAUGUUAUCAGACAUGUCAAGUUAAUACAGGAUAUAACCUCCCUUCCUAGGCUGGAUGACACAGGCCCAAAGGUCUGGGUCAAGCAACAAGAAUAAUGAGUGAUCACAAAGGUAUUAGCCUUGGGACUGGGGCAGACAGAUGGGUUCACUACACCAACUCAGCCCAACCCUUAUGCAAUAGGUAGGGGAUACCUGAGAUCCUGGGAGGGUAGAGGGGUGGGAAACUAACUUGUUAAUCUGCUUUUUCCACGAGGACAGGGUAGUACAGGCCUAGAAAUAUAAUAUCAUUUUUAGGCUCUCCCAGACUGUGGCAAUGUGGAUAAUCUGAUAAAGUGUUGGAUCUUUCAUAUGGGCCUCAUUCUGUCACAGACCACAGUUACCUGCCAGUGAUAAAACCACACCAGCAUUCCUUAAUGCCACAGUGUACACUAACAGAACCUGAGCAGCCCUAGCUUAUUGAAUGAGGAUCUGGUACCUGUUGCAUGGGAGAGAGCAGAAGGUUCUCUGUUUUAACUUAUAACUGACUGUGUGGCAAAAUAUCACAACUAUAACUAAACAGAAUCUUGGUGGGCUUGUGCUCUGAUGCACUAAGCUCCUCUGAUUACAUGGAUCAGAAAUGUUACAGUGGUAAUAAAGAAAACAAGAACUGGACCAGUGCUAGUCCUCUGCAUAGGAGUUUCAUGAACAAUAUUAUAUGAAGGAAAUUGGGCUCAUGCAACUAUGCCAUCAAUGAGACUUGGCUGGGAAAUGUCAAUGCCUCUUUACCAAUGAGUGGCUCACUGAACAAAGAAACAAAGAAAGGGGUGCUGUGUGUGCCCAAGCGUUGCAUCUCUCUCUGCAGGUGGCUGGGGAUGGCCUAGAUACAGGAUAGACAAUGCCAUGCCUGUAAAGCUGGUAGCUGGUGGGAUCCUGCACAUUGGGUGUACUAGGGGUGCCCCUAGAUAUCACCCUGGGAAGGAGAUGCUCCAUUAGGCCAGUGGCCUUAAGCUUUUACACAGGCUUACUAGGAACCCACCAGGAGGUGGGAUUGACUUUGGGUUUAUGUCCUUUAUUAGAUCUUUGAUGUCACACAUGAGUUGGUACUCAUAAAAAAGUAGUAAGAACCCUGCCUCUGACCAUGCAGAUAUUGCUUUUCCACUGCCACUGUCUUGGAAGCCCUAGACAUCCCCCAGAUUCCUCAGGAAAGUUGUUUUAGACAGUGGAAUUGCCCGAGACUUUCUUUUAGCUCAAUUGAGAGGAGUGUAUGUGUUUGGCAAUUCCUACUGCUGUAGCUAGAUAAACACCUUAGGUACAGUAGAGACAUAAGUAGAGGAGAUCUGGAAGCAGGUCCACUGGCUACAAACAGUGGGGCUAUCUGAUAAUCCUUCUUUGCCUUUUUUUUUUAGCAACUUCUUACCUGAGACACUGGUAUCCUGGAUUAGGUCACUGCCUCAAGCAGGUCUGGCUGUCCUGCUAGUGGUGUAGUCCUUUGGGAUCCAGUAAAGGAUUUUCUGUCUGUUACUCAACAGUGUUGCACUGAGUUUGGGUCAGUCAAGGUGCUACAUCAGUCUGGCUAGAUAAACCUCUUCCUCCAGAUCCAGAGAGGUUGGUGGGCAUUUGAAAUGCACUGACUUUGCUACGAGAGAUGUCUGGCUAGAGGGGUAGACCUUAGGACAAUUCUCCAGGUGGCCUUGGACAUACCUAGUUAUCCCUGUUUCUUGCUUGUAGUUCUCAAAAAUAACUAUAGAAUGUGCUGGGAAUGCAACAUCUUGAGUUAGGGAGGAACUGCUCUGGUACAGCCUGGGCUUUACUCCUCCUUCCUGUGGAAGCGAGAUAUCCUUCAAAGCUUUGCCCAGUGAUCAUGCGGCCCCUGGGUUAUAUAACUCAGAACAGGCUGCCAGCUGUGUUUCCUCAGCUGCAGUGCAAGUGGGGCAUGCUCCGUUGAGACUUUAUUCACUCUGGGCAGUUUGUUGAAGAUUAGGUGGUCAGCUCACAAUGAAUCAUAAGCUGCUUUUGUCCCUUGCUGUCUAUGCUUAGAAGCUAAAAGGUUAAGCAGCGAUGUCAGCGCUAUCAGGGAGCUGUGGAGACUGGAAUUGAAGUUCAGAACCUUUCAUGGGAGACAGCUCAGAUGUAUUUCUGUGCAAAACUUGUCUCCAAGGAAGACUCUAAUCUUCUAAACUCUGGAUUUAUAUGAUUUCUCAAUAUGCUAUAUCAACCUCAUUUUGCUAAUAAUGAUACAGGACGGAGGCAGCAAAGUUCUGGAUAGAGAAGGAUGGGGUCCCUGGUGAGGGCUCCACCCUCAGGCCUGUGCCCAUGGACCUAAGUAUGGACAAGCACUCCUGUUUUUGCACCCAAAUGUUGCAUUUUCCAAGACCACUCUGACCCAACACAUGCUCCAUCCUGUGCUUAUAAAAAUCCCGAGACCCUAACAGGCACACACAGAAGUGGCUGGACGUUGAGAGGAGCAGAAGAGCACACUGACAGACACCAGCAAAUGCUCGCAGGCCAUCGAGGGCAGGAUGAGGAUGACUUGGAAUUUGGCAGGGGAUGAUUAGAGGAGAGUCUGGCCACUGGGCAGCCAACUCCACAUUCCCACUUAAUCCUCCUUCUGUUCUCCCCAUCCAUCUUGCUGAGAGCUACCUCCGCUCAAUAAAAUCUUGCACCCACCCUCAAAGCCUAUGUGUGAUCCAAUUUUUCCGGUACAUGAAGGCAAGAACCCAGGAUACAGAAAGCCCUCUGUCCUUGUUGAGCUAAUUAACAAAAGCCACUUGCAGAUGGCAAAACUGAAAGUGCACACUGUAACACAUGCCCACUGGGGCCUCAGGAGCUGUAAACACUCAAGCCUAGAUACUACCAUGGGAUUGGAGCCCAAAAUGCUUUCCACAGCCUCCCUGACUGCAUGCUCCCCACCCGCUUGGGGUUUGAGCAGAGGGGCACCAAAGAAGCCAGUCACACCCCUGUUGCAGUCCCUAUGAAGGGGAUAAAGGAACUUUUCUUGUUUCAACUGGGGGCUUGUCCGGAAUCCCCAAAGGCCAUCAAACUCCAAACAGACAGGCAACUGGUGCCUCAGACGAUGGCUCUCCUUUGCCAGGAACCCUUAGAUAGACCUCUGGGAGG